GUCGAUCUUCCCGAUCCCCUGAAUAACCGACCCAAGGUACUUGAGACUACCCCUCUUGGGAAUGACUUGAGGUAAUUCUAGUGUCAAACAAGUCAAACACUUAUCAAUUGUUCUUCAGCCCCUUGAUUUCAACCUCGAUGAAGAGGCAUAAAUGAGAAUUGUUCCUUUCUGGAGAACGUCCCUCAGCGAUACAAAUACUCCAAGUCAAAAGUAUUACAUUGAUCAUUUUGAGAUCCAUCCUGUUAAGGUUGUGGCAAGCUUUCUUCCGGGGGAAUCUUAUGCCAGCUAUAGCUCCACGCAGGAGACGCUAAGAUCUUUACUUCACAGUGUUAUAAAGGUACUUUCAAACUCAUUAGUAAGUGUAUUGACGGUAAAGGGUUUUCUGGAACAAAAAGAUACUUCGGUGAUCUAGGAAAACUUUAAAAUCAGCAGGAUCAAAUAUCCUUUUUGCUGCUGUCACUGAAAUAUCAGACUCGGUUCUGAAUGGAACAGAAGCUAGCGGGUUAAACGGAAUGGUGUAUGGUUUUCAUCAAGGAAUACUUAAAUUGGCAAUGGAACCUACGCUAUUGGGGAGUGCUUUCAUGGAAGGUGGCCCUGAUCGAAAAAUUAGGCUCGAUCGAAGUCCAAGGGUUGAUGAGCUUUACAUUGAAGGGUAUCUGCAAGCCAUGUUAGAUACAUUGUAUAAGCAAGAAUACCUGACAGUCAGAGUCAUUGACAACCAGGUGCAGGUCCUUUUCACAAACUUGCCCGCCUGAUUGUUGCUAUUUGGAAAGCCAUAAGCUGCUUUUCAAUUGCUGGAAAGCUAAGGUUCUAAUUUGGUCCUCUGUAAGAGCUUAGGCAGCUUAACGCUCGCUGAUAAAAAGAACUAACUGAAACUGCCUUGGGCUAACAAGUAGUGAUCAAGUGAUGCGGAUGGCUAUCAACACCAUAGAGAAAUUGAUGCCGAAAAAAUAAAUUGAGAACGCAUAACAGGAGAACAAAAAGGAUCAGCCGCCCCUCCUAGCUUGACAUAUUACCAACCUCAACUAAUUCCAGCUCAGGACUUAAAUAAAUGGGAAUUCAAGUAUUGAAGAUCUGAUUGAUAUUAUGUUGCGCUACAUACUGCAAAUUCGAUGAGCUUCAGAUGGACGAAAACUCAUUUGGUGUAGGACUUGGAGCAGUGGAGUUUUUUUUAUGAUCCCCCAUGACAUCUACUUAGUGAUGGACGAAAACUCAUUUGGUGUAGGACUUGGAGCAGUGGAGUUUUUUUUAUGAUCCCCCAUGACAUCUACUUAGUGUAAGUUGUUGCUUAUCUCUGUUCUCAUGCUUUUUUCUCUUAAGUUAUCAUUGCCUUCUUCAAUACUAUGUUAGACUGCUGGUGUCUCUCUAAUAUGUAUGCCAUCUUUGCCGAGGUGGCCAUGAUUUAUACCUGCAGUCCUGGCAGAGUACAUAUUGAUAAUUGUUUCCUCUCAAUGGUAAUGCACAGUCUACAAACACUGCCAGCCUUUAUCUAAGGCUUGAAACUUUUAGACCUUACCUAGAAUGUGUUGUAUACUUGUCUGAGUUGGAAAGUAAUGACUGAGGAGAAUGCUCAAAUUUUACCUAGAUGUAAGCAUGUAAACAUUGAUUUUGGAAUGAGAUCCAGGAUCAGCUUGGAACUAGAAUGGAGAAUCCAGGAAGGUGUUGCCUGCUGUUUUGAAUUUUGAUAUACAUAAACAGAUCAGAAGGAAUGAUAAAGAUAUCAUGUAAGAAUUCAAGUAAUAGAUGAGUAUUUCAUUUAACAAUGAGAUGUUUUUGGCAAGGAGAGAGAUAUUUAAAUUUAGCAAAACGUUAAAAUGGCAUUGGUGAGAAAUUGAAUAGAGGUGCACAAAUUGCACUUUAGGACUUAUAUGUUGAUGGAAGUGAAAACAGUGAAUCUUUUGUGACUGUCCUCUUGCUUGGAGGUCACUGUUCUCUUUAGUGUUACACAAAUGAAAUUAUGGAUAGCAGGAAACUUGUUGCUCAGUAAAAUAUAUUUCCAGGAAUGUCCCGCUUUCAAGUGUGGGAAGACCACUUUUUAUACGAAGUUUUUAAUUUCUGACGAGGAAUGGAGCUACAUAUGUGUGAAGGUGGAUUAACUCCUCUUCUGAAUGUUUGGCUUAUUACUUGCCAUAUUAUUACUUUCUUUUCCUCUAUAUACAAUGAUGUUGGUAGGCCCAAAAUACUAAUUCAUUGAUAAGAAAGUAGUAGAAAUUGGUGAAGGCUCUGUGGUUCUAUUUCUACAUUGGUUCCUUUAGUUUCUGGCACUGCUUAGUGUUAUAUUGUUCCAAUAAAGGGUUCUGAGCCAUUACCCAAAGCCUCCGAAAACCAUGGAUUCACUGGGCAGUCACCAGGUGCCACCACGAUCUUCCACAUAACGAGGACCUGGUGGCUGUAUAAUAUAGACAUGCGGGGCCUGGAGCGAUAGUUCCUGGAAGAGCAUAUCUAUCUCUGGACAUUAUGUCACAGAUAUUAUUUGGCUACAGGUAUUAUGUGUGCAAAUCAGGUACAUUUUUUUCCCUCUUCUGCCCUAUUAACUUUCAACCCAUGAUAGAAUACCUGUCCCUCAUUUUCAAAAUCCUCAUAAGAGGUGGAUUCAUUUUCUUUGAGCUGCUUUUUGUUCCUUUUACUUUUUUUCUUUCGUGAAAAUGCAGUAAAAUCCUGAAGGCUUGCAAAUAUGGUAAUUGUACUUCUUUUGCUGCUUGUAUCACAAUCCACCUAUUAAUGAAAAUCACGACUAGCUCUAUUUCCAGUUCCCUGCCCAUUACUGGGAUUGGCCGAAUUUAUUCACUUUCUCUUCUUUUUUUUUGGGCAUUUGCAUCUAUACCCGUUUUUUGUGCCACAUUUUAACCUGUGCCCGC